rnacentral:rRNA from 1 species
GACGAACGCUGGCGGCGUGCCUAACACAUGCAAGUCGAACGGGGUAAAGAGCUUCGGUUUUUUACUUAGUGGCGAACGGGUGAGUAACGCGUGAGGAACCUGCCUUUCAGUGGGGGACAACAGUUGGAAACGGCUGCAAUACCGCAUAAUGCAUUUAAGGGGCAUCCCCUGAAUGCCAAAGCUUUAAGUGCUGAAAGAUGGUCUCGCGUCUGAUUAGCUAGAUGGCGGGGUAACGGCCCACCAUGGCGACGAUCAGUAGCCGGUCUGAGAGGAUGGACGGCCACAUUGGGACUGAGACACGGUCCAG